rnacentral:rRNA from 1 species
GAUGAACGCUAGCUACAGGCUUAACACAUGCAAGUCGAGGGGAAACGAUAGAGAAAGCUUGCUUUUUCUAGGCGUCGACCGGCGCACGGGUGAGUAACGCGUAUCCAACCUGCCCAUCACUUGGGGAUAACCUUGCGAAAGUAAGACUAAUACCCAAUGACGUCUCUAGAAGACAUCUGAAAGAGAUUAAAGAUUUAUCGGUGAUGGAUGGGGAUGCGUCUGAUUAGCUUGUUGGCGGGGUAACGGCCCACCAAGGCGACGAUCAGUAGGGGUUCUGAGAGGAAGGUCCCCCACAUUGGAACUGAGACACGGUCCAAACUCCUACGGGAGGCAGCAGUGAGGAAUAUUGGUCAAUGGGCGAGAGCCUGAACCAGCCAAGUAGCGUGCAGGAUGACGGCCCUAUGGGUUGUAAACUGCUUUUAUAAGGGAAUAAAGUGAGUCUCGUGCGACUUUUUGCAUGUACCUUAUCAAUAAGGACCGGCUAAUUCCGUGCCAGCCGCCGCGGUAA